GUAAUCCAUACCUUCUUUUCCCCAGUUGCUGGACUGUAGGUAUCCAUACCAUUGUGUCUGGUUUUUCAAUAAUCUGCUGGGAUUUAUCCCUGUCAUCUCACACAGCUGAAUGUAUGUGUUUGAGGCAGGGUCUCAUUGUGUAGCUUGUCUGUUCACUAUGUAGCCAAGGCUAUCCUUUAUCUUUGUGUACAUAUGCUCACAUGGAGGACGGACGUAUCUUCUGUAGUCACUUUGUACAUUGCUGAAGGUUUUUGAUGAGGAUAGGCACUGGGAUUACAGCCGUGCGCCUCCAUGUAUGCUAGGGAUUUAAGUCAGCUCCGCAUCGUGUGUUGAAAGCCUUUACCAAUAGAGUCGCUUCUCCAGCCCUGUCCUUGAUGUGCUUCAGCCUUUUGAAUGCUGGGAUUGCAGAUGUGCAGAAAAGGAGCUUGCUCCUUUUCUAAUUUUGUUUCCCUGUUUCUUUUAAAACCAUUGCUGAAAUUUCUGUAGUUUUCUGCUUUUGUUUUUGGCAAAGUCUUAUUGACCCAGGCUGGCCUCGAACUUGAUCCAUUGCUUCUGCAUCCUGAGUGCUAGGAUUACAGAUCUGCUUAGGAUCCAGCCCAGGGUUCUCUGCAUGCUAAGUACUUUGUCAACUUAGCCACAACCGUGUAUAUUUUUUUACAUUUUUAUACAUUAAAACUUUUUUUUAAUCACAUUUGUUUUGUGUGUAUGCGGCCAUAGCACACGGGCCAGAAGACAACUUGUGGGAGCUGGUUUUGUUCUUCUACAAUAUGGUUUCUAGGGUUCAAAAAGUGGUCAGGUUUUGUGGCAAGUACCUUAACCUGAGCCAUCUCUGGGCCCUUCUUCUUUUUAAAAGAUUGCUUUAUUUUUAUGAGUGUUUGCCUGCAUGUAUAUAUAUGUGCACAUGUAUAUAUGCCUGGUGCCUGAGGAAGUCAGGAACUAGAGUUACAGUUGUGAGCUGCCAUGUGGUGCUGUGAAGGAAACCUGACUCCUUGGCAAGAGCAUAGGUACUCUUAACUGCAGUGCCAUCUCCGGCCUCUCUAAAGAAACCCCAGUGAUUCCAGCAUUGCAGAGGCAUUCUUAGGCUGCCUCUGUCCACCUCCACUUCCACCUAUGGAAGCUUUUCAAGUCCUCUACUCUCAAUCUCUGGAAAGUUUGAAAUUUACUAGUGAUAUGUCUUACUUAGUUAUUGUGUUGAGCACCCUGGGUCUUUACAAACUGGGGCUUAACCCAAUACCCAUUUUAUGUUUGCCAAUAACUACAUUUUAUCUUUUUAUUGACAAGACUCCUAAUAAGGUAGCACUGUCAGAAUGCAGUAAUGGUGUUGUAUCUGGGUCUGAGGGGUGUACCAACCUCGCCCCCUCACAUUAAUCAUAAUCAUGGAUUAUAACCUCGAUAAAUGACUUGAAACACCGUAGUACUAGUAAUUUUGACAAGGAAUCCUUUUUCAUUUUUUGGAGUUAGUCUUGCUGUAUAACCCAGGCUGUCCUUAACUUGAGGACCUUCCUUCUCCUUUUUUUUUUUUUAAAGAUAUAUUUCAUGUAUGUGGAUACACUGUCACUGUCUUCAGACACACCAGAAGAGGGCACUGGAUGGACAUUACAGAUGGUUGUGAGGCACCAUGUGGUUGCUGGGAAUUGAACUCAGGACCUCUGGAAGAACAGUCAGUGUUCUUAACCACUGAGCCAUCUCUCCAGCCCAACCUUCCUCCUUCUUAAGCCCUAGUGAUAAGGGAUCCUUUUAAACAUUGUCCUUUUGGGAUCUCCAUAAUUAGUGUGGUGCCUGUUUGAUUAAUAAAACAUGUCGAAGAGUCAUUUAUCUCUAUUAAGCAAAGUAUUUUCAGUUGUAAUAUUUAAAAAGGAAAGGAUACUUUGCUCAGUCCUAGUAUUUAAAAUCCUAUGCAUUGAGCUGAAGCGAUGGCUCAGUGGUUAAAAGAACUUACAAAGGACCCAGAUUUGGUUGCCAGCACCUAUAUUGUGGCUAAUAACCACAUGUAAUUCCAGUUCUAAAUUUCAUGACCUCUUCUGAGCUCUACAGUCAUCAGGCAUGCGUGUGGUGUAUACAUAUAUAUAGAUAUGGGCUAACAUAUAC
rnacentral:lncRNA from 1 species